rnacentral:rRNA from 1 species
CACGUAGGGCGCGAGCGUUGUCCGGAAUUAUUGGGCGUAAAGAGCUCGUAGGCGGCCUGUUGCGUCCGCUGUGAAAUCCCUCGGCUUAACCGGGGAACUGCGUCCGAUACUGGUUGGCUUGAGUUUGGGAGAGGGAUGCGGAAUUCCAGGUGUAGCGGUGAAAUGCGUAGAUAUCUGGAGGAACACCGGUGGCGAAGGCGGCAUCCUGGACCAAUACUGACGCUGAGGAGCGAAAGCCAGGGGAGCAAACGGG